rnacentral:lncRNA from 1 species
UCAUGGGGCCUCUCCCCCCCCCCCCCCCCCCACCCCGGGGGGGCCCCCCCCCCCGGGGGGCCCCCCCCCCCCCCCCCCCCAUCAAGACGGGGGAAGCGCUGCCUCAGGGGGCGCCUCGCAGCCCCUCAGCGGGAGCACGGCUCCCCCCCCUCAGCCUCAAGGCGAGCGUCUCCCCUCACCCCGCGGCUCCCCCGCCCGUUCCCGGCGGGGCCGAGCCGCCUCCCUCCCCUCAGCCCCGCCGCAGCCCCCCCGCCGCCAUUUUCUGACGAGCGGCACCCCCCCCCCCCGCCCCCCCCCCCCCCCCCCCCACACACACACUGCGCAUGCGCAGCGGCGCCGCUCGGGCCCUCUCCCCCACGUAUCCCCUUCGCCCCGCCCCUAAUUUGAAUAUGCUAACGAGGCACCGCCCGGCGGCCCAAUGGCGGGGCGGGGAGGCCGUCACGUGGGGGCGGGGCCGCGUGCCUGGGGGGCGUGGCCAGCCCAGCCCAGGCGGCUAUAAAAGCCGGCGGCGAGCGCGGCAGCGCCUCAGUCAGAGGCGGAGGGGGGCGGGCGGCGAAGGGGCUGCGGCUGCUCCGCCCGAAACUUCGGAAAGGGGGGGGGGCGGCAGCACCAGCAGCAACAGGGGGAGGGGAGGAGGAGGAGGAAGGAGAAGAAGAGGAAGGAGGUGGUGGUGGUGGUGGUCGGGGCGGCGGCGGGGGGGAAGGUCAGCAGCGGCGCAGCCCUCCCCGCCGCUCCCUCAUGAGCCAGCCCGUGCUGGGCUGAGCAGGCCCCGCACACAAAGGAGGGCAGGGCAGGCAGCGCUGCCCCCCCCACCCCCCUUCCACCUCCCCACCACCUUCCCUUCCCCUCACCCUGAGGGAAGGGGCGGCGGGGAGGCGCCCUUCCCCGUGCACAGCACUCACGGCCACUCGUUCCCCCCUCCUCUUCCUCCUCUUCCUCCCACCUUUGGUUUUUCCUCCUCCUUUCCCCCCCCCAGCCCCGGUCCAUGUAGCCGCCCCGGCCGCCGGCCCCUCCGCACUAUGCCCAUCUUACUCUUCCUGAUAGACACGUCCGCCUCCAUGAACCAGCGCACCCACCUGGGCACCACCUAUCUGGACAUAGCCAAAGGCGCUGUAGAGACUUUCAUGAAGGUACCGGCUGCAAGGAGGCGAGGAGAGAGAGAGAGAGGAGGGGAGAGAAACGAAUUGGGGAGGGGAGGGGGGGGGAGAGGGGAAAAAAAGGGAGGGGGGGGCUGCGGGGGGCGAGGGCGGCGGUGUGCGGGCACCCAGGGAGGGAG